rnacentral:lncRNA from 10 species
AUUUGUUUCAAUAUUUUUUCCCUCCUUAACCUGAUGGUCAUUUAGGAGCAUGUUGUUCAUUUCCAUGUAUUUUUAUAGCUUCCAAAAUUCCUCUUGUUAUUGAUUUCUAGGUUUAUUCCAUUGCGGUCUGAGGAGAUAUUUGAUAUGAUUUCAAUUUUUUUUUUUUUAAGACAGAGUCUAGCUCUGUAACCAAGGCUUGCGUGAAGUACUGUGAUCAUGACUCACUACAGUUCAACCUUCAAGGCUCAAGUGAUCCUCCCACCUCAGCCUCCCAAGUAGCUGGGACCAAAGGCAUCUGCAAAAUGUAGCCAGUUACUGCUGUCUUGUUGAAGCAACCAUACAAGAAAGAAGUAUCCGAGGAACUGAAAAC